ensembl:lncRNA
CUAUUCUUAUGCUAAGAAUUGCUUUCCCUUUAUAUGUAUAUUUUUUUAAAUCAACAGAAUGAUACCAAAUCCUAAUACUUGCCAGGCACUGUGCCAGUCACUGGAAAAAAAACAAACAAACAAAAAAACAAAUAAAUAAAAACAGGUAUAGGCCAAGAUCCUGUGCUUUAUACUCAGAUUCUCAGCUGGUGUAAGCCUUCUUCAAACCACCUGUCCUGAGAGACGAACAAGGGUUUCCUCAGGGGGAAACUGGGGUGAGGGGGUGAGGAAUAAGUGAUCUCUAAAAGAAAAAAAGCACAGGUGCUGGCUUGGUAGCCAGAAAACAAAGCCUGCACUAUACCAGUACGAUUUUGUAUCUCUAGAAUUCCCAUCUAAAGUACUUACAGGGCAAGCUUUUACAUUUCAUAAGACUAAUUAUGUUGCUGACCUUCUUUAUGGUCCUUCCUCUUUCAUUAUCUGAACUUCAGAGGUUUUUCUUCUUGCACAUCGAGUCUUAUCAUAGCAGUGUGACACAGUCACUGCUCCACACUUAAGGACAGACCAUCAAAAUCCCCUGGACCUUGCCCAGGGGUGGCAGAGGUAAGUAGGAAGAGAUUCUAAAGAGAGACAUGUGCAUCAGGGAAAGGAUUAGGACACCAUAAUGAUAAUAAGCUUGAAUGAAUUGAAUAUAAUUUUCAUUAAGAAAGAUGGCAUUUCUUUAUAGGUAAGGAAAUGUGGGGUCCAUGAGAAAGAAGAAGUUGUGGUUCUAAGGAUUGCAAAAGACAUAAAGACACUGUAUAUGUUUUCAUGUUCACUUUAAUUAAAAUCUCAUUGCCCUUUCAAGCCCCAAAUUUAAGCUCUGUUCAUUUGAAAUGGAGAGCUGUUUUAUCUUUUGCGCUUUCAGAAUUGUUCUUCAUUAUGAGCCAGUUCUUUUCUAAAGAUCUAUGUUUUCCACUCAAGAUCUAUGGAAAAAUAAAUAAUACUGAUUCCAAAUUUUGUAAGAGAAUGUUCAAAAGUUUGAUCACACGCAGGCCUCUUUGUUAUGAUAUAGUAAACCUUUGAUUGCAUCACUUCUAUCUAAACAUCUUUCUCCUCUCUCUCAGUUUGUAUGAGGAAAUCAAGAUUGGUUUUCUUGGUUGGUUUCCUGUUUUGUUUCUUUUAAAGCACAAUGACAUCCAGUUAUUCCUGGGGCACUAUGUUCUGUUGAGUCUUUUUCUUAUCAAUCUGCUAGAGGGGAAAAAAAAAUGUAAGGAUGUUUGUUUUUGCAAUAAUUAGGAAGGAAUUCUACCUUCUAUGUUCACACAGAUAGCAGGAAGUACACCCAUUGGCCACAACCCUAAUCACUAAACUUCAGAUUCCUUAAAAGCUCUAUUAUUUUAACUACCAUUCUCUUAAAAGAUGGCUAGUUGUAGAAACCUCAGGAAAUGCACAGGAAAUAACUGCCUGAGAAAAUGUUAGCUAGGGAAUUCGGUCAUAUAACAAAGUGGUAAGGCAUGACUAAAACUACACCCAAACACUGUUAUUUAAAUUCUCAAACUGUCUGAGUUUGUGGCAUUACAUAUAUUUGUAAAGAAAUAACUGUCACAAUAUGUAUGUCAUGUCUUAGAAAUAUAUGAACUUCAGAGGUCUUUAGGCAAAGAGCCAAGACAUCUAGUUAAUUGCUAACUUUUCAUGGCAAAGGGAAGUGGAGAAUUAAGUCACUAAUUCAGGCAAUAAUCUGCUACUGAGAGAAUUUGUGUUUAAAGAUUCCAUAGUGAUCGGCCACAGAGGCUGCCUGCCUUCCACUGUUCAUUUUGGUUUUGGAUAACCAUUUGAUUUACAAGUUUACAGAUACGUGAAUUGUGGAGACAGUGCAAGCCUCUGACCUUUAUUCUUAAACAUUUUUGAUUGAUGCUGUGCACUAGAAAGAGCCAAUGUAAAUAUGAAACAUUCUCUCCAAUAACUCAAGACCAAUCCAGAUGUAUGGUGAUUCCAUACCAGGCAGACCUGGGUUUGUAUUGCAACUUUGCUGCUAGUGCAGUGUGUAUGGAUUUGGACAUGUUUUUAACUAUCACUAUGCCUCAGUUUCUUUAUAUGUAAAAUGGCACUAAUAGCACCCAAUUCUUUGGCUUAAAGACAUACAUUUAAUUUUACAUUCAAAUGUUUAUAAAUACUUAUAAAAUUUAACUGAAUAAAUUUUGAAUAUAACCAAUAACUGAAUUUAAUGCAGUGUUCUUGUUUUUCUAAUUGACAAAUAAAGUGGUUUAUAAUCCUCAGAAUAUAGAAAUAGAUGAAAUGGUUAUAUCUAACUCAUGGUGUUUUUUAAGGAGUAAAUAAGAUAAUACAUGACCUUCUCUUGACAUACAGAGAGCACUAAAUAAAUCUUAAGCUACCACAAGUACUACAACCAUUGUAAGUAUAACUAUCAUGACUAUAUCUACCAACCUGUCUCAGUUUCCUCAUGUGUGAAAUAAGGAAAAUAAAACACCCUUUAUUUUUAUUUUAGAUAAAAAUAAUUUAUCUAAAGCUCUGUGCAUGGCACUUGGUACAUAAUAAGUGCUCAUAAAAUGUUAGCUACUACUGUUAUUCACCAUUGUGACUAUGACUGCUAUUACAACUACUACUGCUACAACCACUUAGUAGGAGAAACUACAUCCCCAUUAAUCUCAAAGAACUUGCAGCCUAAUUACAAAAUCAUUAAGGCAAAAAUAUUUCAGGAUAUAAUUUUCUUUCAUUAUUACUCUGUUAGGCUUAGACAGAGACUGGAGAAGAUCAAAAUCAGGUGGCUUAAAAUCAUCUAAAAACAUAGAACAAGUCUCUGCCUCUCUUCUCUCAUGUUCUCAGUAAGGAGAAUGUCAAUGUUACCAGGUCUUGAAAAACUUUUAGAGUACUAUUGCCUCAAAAUAACAGCAAAGAAUUUUGUCUGGCUUUUAAAUCGGUACAAUUGGUAGCUCAAUGUCCCGUCAUAGUUUAUCUUUCUCCUUAAUCCCAUUGGAUGUGCCUUGAUUCAUUUACACAAAUAUAUAAACACACAAAUUGGCCGGAGCUGGAGAAGGUAGCAAAGGAAACCCCAAAUGAGCAGCAUGUGACUGAUUAUACUUUGCAUUAAUACAGAAGAAACAAGUCGUUCACAAGAUACUGUCUUAUACCUGCUUCCUCUCGUAACUUUUACCUUUUUCAACUCUGGUCUACUCAGUCUAUCUUGGCUCUUUUUGCAAGAAUUUUCUACAGACCAUAGUAACCGGAAUUUUUCUGCUUGCCUUGGUGUGAAGGGGGUUAGAAACAUUUAAUUACAAAGAAAAAAAAAAAGUAUUCAGGAAAGAAAAGAUGAACAUAAAAAUAUGCUCUCCACAAGUUUUAUUAUAUGUGAAAAUAAUCUCUAUUUUUCUUUCUAAACUCAUGGUUUCCUUUAGUCCUUUCUUAUUAAUGUGGCUAUACACAAGGAGUACCCUCUAAGAUUUAAUUCAAUAGGAAAAUAAAAAAGCAUAUAAUAACAAUAAUAAACUAUAGAUGUAUAUUUUUUUCUUUUAACAAAGUUAUGAAAUACACAUUAUGGUUGUUUUAUUUGAACCCUUUUCUUGGAAGUGACACAAAGUCAAAUCAAACUAGAUUAGUAAAAGGGGUUAUAAUAUUGUUACCUGUAACCAAACCACAGUAAAACCAGUGGUAGGCAUGAGAGACAGUUAUCUGGCAUAAGAGCCCACAUAGAGUCUCCAACUUUUCCGACUCUGGGCUUUUGCUAAACAACUGGAAGAUCUAGAAUUUCAGUCAUAGCCUUGACAUCAGAAGAGGCUGAAAUAUGCUUUCUAAUGUUAGAAAAUCCUAGGAGAAAAUUCAGACUGGGCCUAACCUAAACUGUGCCAUCCAUUCGCUUCUAUUUUAUAAUUUAUCAAAUGAAUUUUCUGAGAAUUAACUGCAGUAUAAAUGAACACAGAACUAUGUUCACCUGACUUUUACCAUUUUCUCUUGAGUUCUAAUAAUUAAAUCAACAACUUUCAACUUUAAUCCAUACUUACACAAACUAUUUACACUGAGGAAAUGGAAGCAUUUCAUCAGAAAUUUAACUCUCUCCUUAAAUCAGUAUUUCUGAAUCUCCUAGUUGUGCCUAUGGACUAUGUGUAUUGAUUUAAUUCUCACAUUAAAAAAAUUACAAUAUAUAUAGAGAACCCCACUAAACUCAACUGACAUAGUAAUAAUAAAUUUGUUGUCAUAUAAUUCUUUUUAACUUUCUUGAAAUCAAAUCAUAGUAAACUGUGUAGUACGGUUUUCUGUAUACUAUUUGAGAAGAAUUUAAGAGCAAAAAUACUCAAAAUCUUUAUGAAAAUCCAAUCAGAAACCUAUGACUAAAACCAUCAAAGCUCACUUAGCACAAGGAGUUGUUUGCACUUUAACAGAACCAACCUGGGAUUCUGUUCACCUUAGUUAUUACCAUGGCAAAUUAGAAGGUUUGUUUAAAUAAAUAUAAAGGGUCCUUCUCUUAAUUUGAUCUUUGAAUACUAGUUUCUUAUAGCCAAUUCCAAAUAUGAGAUCUAUAACAAAUGUGAGGGACUUAUGAAAAUGCUAGGUAAGAAGGCAAGAUUAGUUAAAUGUUUUUUAACUAUUGUGAGAGGCAGGCCAGGAAGGUGAAGUUGGGAGAGGUGGAGUUUCUACUCUAGAACAGGAACCAUAGAUCUGUAUUUUGAUUAUGAUAACCAUAUAGUCUCAAGAAAAGAUUUAAAUUUCUUACCCCAACAGUAAGCAAAUUUCAAACUGAUGCUCACUGACUAGCUGUUAAGUACUUUUUUUAAAAUCUAUAUUAAUUUGUCCCACCAAAUGCAUUCUAUAUUUGCACUGGAGACAUACUAUAGUCUUGGUUGAAGCCUGAAGGUUCAUUUAAGGAAAAUGAGGGGAGAUCUGAAAUAUGAAGGAAACUACUUCUCCAGUCUCCUAGAAGGGAGGAAACAGAUUGGCAAAGGGUGUUUAUUUAAAUUACUAAAUUACCUUUAUAGUGACUUGAGGCCAGGGAGGUACUUAUUUGCAAAGCUGUAAUAGAAUGUCUUUAGCAGGAAAUCUUAAAUAAGGGCAAAACCACUUCAGGACCUUGGCUGGAAUUUUGAACUAUGAACAUUAAGCAAUCAGCAGGAAAAUGAUAUAGCAUUAUUUCAUUGAUAUAGACUGUGAUAUAAAUAAGCAGAAAUAAAGGAAGGAAGCAAUAGACUCCAUUGCAUUUGAUACUAAAUUUCCUUGCCAAGGAAGAAAAUAAAAAAGGAAAACAUAGCAAUUGCUUUAAAAGCAGAGCAAUAAAGAUAUUUUGAAACACCUUUAAAAACUCAUCAUUAACAUUAAAGAUCUAUCAAAACUGGGAAAGCGUGAACUAAGGAGAAAAAAACACAAAGCACAUUUUUCUUUCUUGAGCUUUUUUAGUCUCACAGUGCUAUGGAAUUAGAAUAGCAAGCUGAAAUGAUUUAUGAAAUGAAAAAUUCCUGCCCACCCAGUUCACAGACAAUCAUGUGCCGUAACUACUGUGUUCUGCGAUUUGCCAUGAUAUUUAGCUCAGAUGUAGCCAGAAAAUCCCACUACACACAGAGGAGUCAACCAUAAAAAGAAACAGAUUUCCUUGCAUUUCUCUCAUGUGUUUGUACACAGACACAUAGGAAAAUAAUACAUGUGUAGUUUUGCACACAUCAGUAAUUUCCCUUGUAUCUUAUCCUUUUCUUUCUUCUUCCUAAAAAUUUAAUUUACUUUUACUUUUGAAGUAAUUCCUACAUAAACUUCUCACUUCCUUUCUCCAUCUCGACCCCCUAACCCUGUUUCCUCUCCACAAGACUUAGAACCAGGUUGUUACCUGAGUAAUUUAGCAAAUAACCACUCUUCUAGAUUGAAUGUGCCACAAAAGUGAUUUUGUUAAAUACUGGUUUUCUUUAUAUCACUAAUUAGCUUUAUUAGGUAUGUGACUACUCAGGAGAGUAUCAUCUGGUCUGAAACUAAAUAGUGCAUUUGUUUGUGGUAUUAUGAAAAGCUUAAUAAAAACACUCAGGAGAAUCUGAGUAUUAAAUGGAGAAACCAUCAUUAACUGAAAUAUACAAGACUACUGACAAAUCCUUCCACAUAUACAUAUUUAAUCCAGAAACAACGCAGGGUGUUGUGGAAGAAAAGAAUCAUGUAUAAGAUAGUCUCCUGUCCCUCUGAGGACCCUAUAUUUAUGUUGGCAAGUUAUACACAAUGAAAUAAAGAUUAUCAUAAGAUUAUUUACAAUGAGACCCUCCAAUAGUUCAAUAAAAUGAAGAAAUUUUCAUAAACUGAGGGAAUUAGGAAAAGUCAAUGGAAAUGGUGGGAUUUGAGUUUAAAACAUAUUUCUGGGUAGUAAGGCUUGAAUACCAUGUAUGGAUCUCGCCACAGUGGAUUGUCUAGAAGUGAUAACUGCAGGUAAACUUCAGUCUUCGCAGUUAAUUAUAUUUCCCCAUAUCCUCUAGAUGUCUGAGCACACAAGGACAUUUGAGAAACUACAAAUCUUGGAAAGCAAGAAUAAGCAAGUAGCUGUAUAAGAGGUGGUAUGAUGGGAUAAUAUAAUGUGGUCUUAAUUUUAUCUCUGCCAUAAUCUCACUGAGUUUUUGGGAAGACAUUUAAAGAAGUCUAUGCCUCCAUUUCUUAAGGAUAAAGAUUAUAUUAAGACCAAUACUUUUUAGAGGAUAGAUCAGUGGAGAACAAAAUGCCUCACAGUGUGGGGAUGGAUAUUAAAACCUCUGGCAGAGGGAAACUAGUCCCAUAGGAGAGAGUCUUAAGUGACAUUCUUAAAGACCUUUUAGUCACCAAUCCCAUCCUCCUGUCCCUUCCUUGCCCAACAUGUACAAUUGGAUGAGGAUUACUUAUUGUAAAGGAAAUAUGCUGUGGAAGAUGUAGGUGGGUGCAGAGUUGAGAUGUACUUUAUCCUUCAUUCUCAUUCUUCUUGAUCAGUUCAAAUUUAUUUAUUUGAAUAUUCUUAUAUCUCAUCUUCAAGAACUUUCUUAGGCUCAGAGUCUAAUGAAUUUCUGAAUGAAAUUUCAGAAUACCUUAAUACUUGAUCUAAAAACUAACCUUGAUAAGGCUUUAUCUUAGCUAAAGGUGGAACAUUUAUGUCUAUAUGAUCUCCUGAUACAUGAAUUUGAAAUCAAUGGGUUAAGGAUCCAGCAUUAUCACUACUGUGGUGUGGGUUCAAUCACUUUCCUGGGAACUUCCUCAUGCUGUGGGUGCACCCAAAAAGAAAAACAAAAACAAAAAAUGAAAAAAAAAACACUUAAAUCUUUCUUCAUUUUUUUAUAUUGGGGGGAACUGAAUCAAUUGGACCCUAUUCUCAUGGAAGCAGAAUGUGGAUUCUCCUCUUUAGCCUCUAAAAGGUAACUCAGAAAUAACUAGGUGUAAUCACUGGAACUCUUUCAUUUAGAAGUGAUAAACACCAUACUCUAAAUAGAGUAAGUAAAAAAAAGUUAAGAGGAAAAUAUUCGAAAGAUGGGAGCUCCUGUUUUGGCUCAGCAGGUUAUGAACCCAAAGUAUCCAUGAGGCUGCAGGUUCAAUUCCUGGCCUCACCCAAUAGAUUAAGGAUCUGGCAUUGCCGGGAGCUGCGACCCUAAAAAGUACACACACACACAAUAUUGAGAGCCUUUGAGGGCCAUGAUGCUAAAAGCCCAAGAAUUCAUUUCCUCAAACAUGGCUGGGAUUCAAGGUCCCAGAGAAUUCUAUCAGAAGAUCAGCUUUCUCUGCCUCUCUUCACAUAGCUGGAUGAAGGGCUAGCAACCAAAUAGUGGCAUGCUAUACCAGCUCUAUAUGCCUACAUCACAUGACCACCCCGUGGCUUGGGAGAGGAGGGUUCAGCUCAUUCCCAAUUGAAUUAUGUGGUUGUUUUCCUUAUGAAACAGAGGUUCCUUCCAUAAGGAAGGAAAAGGAAGAGGAUAGGGAAAAACAAUACGGCUACCACAUUUGGGCAGAUUCUGAACUAUGCUGGAAUUUGAGCACUCUGUCACCGUUAGAAUUUAUGAAAGGCCUUUCUCGUUCUAAAAAUUACAUAGAGAAUACCUUCUUUUCCUUCCAUUUUAAAAUUUAUUUUUGUUUUUAAAUACUUUGAGAGAAACAGGCAUAUAUGGAAUAUUGUGAAAGACCCAUUUGUUUAAGGGAUAGUUGUACUUCAGUUGCAAAGACAAUCAAAAUUCUACGAAAAUUACAUUUUCUAGCAUUUUUAUGUGUGAAAAUAAUAGCUAACAUUAGUUGAGCCGUCACUAUUUUUACAUUAAGUGUAAAGCACUAUGCUAUGUGAUUUACAUGUAUUAACUCACUUAUGUCAUAGCCCUCCUAUGAAAUCUCAUCCUCUUUUUAUAGAGAAGAAAACAGAGUCACUGUGAGAUUAAUUCAAGUCACACAGCAAAGUUAAGAUGUGAACCACUCUUUGUUAAUUAUAUUAUCUCACAGUUUGCACAGUUUUGUGGUUUUUCCUUUACUUUCUUUUUUCUUUUUCCAAGCUGGAGUUUACAUGUCUGGAAAAUAGGAAUUAAUUAAACAGGAUAAGCCACAUGUUUAAACAAAGACUUUCUUUCCUCUUUUUUUCUUAGGGACUAAACUAUAUGUUG